AGAAAGGAGGAAGAGGCAGGCACAAGACAAAAUGAAUCUCUCCGCUGUGCACAUGGAGCCUUAGCUCUGAUUCCAGUUGAGCAAAAUUAUGAAGAAGAUGAUUCCCCAUAUGGAUGACAGAUAAACACCCUGUGGCGAGUCACUCACUCCCGAAAGGCCCUCUGAAGGAUCGCGCAUGUCCUGACUGCACAGCCUGCUCCUGACAAUGCUCUCAAAGCCACGGUUGUAAUAGAAAUUGGAAAAUCAAAGCAGAUCCAUGUGGCCUCAGCAUAACGAAAACAAGAGAAUCCUGAGAUUGAGAAGAGGGAGAAUACUUUAAAGAGGAGCCCCUCCUACUACAGAAACCUCAGUGUAACAGCAGGAAUGACCCUGUGCCUCCAAACAUGUGGUUUAAGAGGCAGAUCUAACAUGACUCUUCAAAAACAAGCCCAGGGAAAAGAGAAGAUGACAACAUGUAACCAGCAGCCACCUUAGAAUGCAGGGGGCAGCUAUAGUGCCACCUCUGCAGGCGGAUUUACCAGUUUAAAUAGAUGGUUCUCAAAACUGCAGGCAACUUUGUCCCCAGAGGGACAUUCGGCAAAGUCUGGGACAUUUUUUGCUUGUCACAACGCAAGAGUUUCUUACUGGCAUCUAUUGGGUAGAGACCAUGGAUGCUGCUAAAAUUCUAACGGCUCACAGGACAAUCCCACAAGAAAUAAUUAUCUGGUCCACAAAACCAACAGUUUCAAGGCUGGGGAACUCUGAUGUGGAUAAAUCAGGCCUGGGUAGAUAGAAGGAAAGUACCUUGAGAAGAAACAUGUUUGGGUACCCAACUUUAAAGAGUUUGGUCUUAGGGACGUUUAUGUGCCAGCAAGGUAAAUUCCAUGGCCUGGCAUGUGUUGCAGCAACAACAGUAACACCACCACCUAUAUAGUAUUUACUAUGAGUCAGACAACAUUCUAAACCCCUUAUCUGUAACUCAUGCAAUCCUCAAGACAACCUACGUGAUAGGUACUAUUAUCACCCUCAUUUUACAGAUGAGGAAACUGAGGCACUGGACCUUGCCCAAGGUCCAGAAUUACUAAGCAGUAGAACUGAGGUAUUAACCAGGCAAUCUGGCUUCAGAGUCUGCUAUGGUUUCGCUGUGUCCCCAUCCAAAUCUCAUUCUAAAUUGUAGCUCUCGUAAUUCCCACAUGUCGUGGGAGGGACUCAGUGGGAGGUAACUGAAUCCUGGGGCAGUUUCCCCCGUACUAUUCUCGUGGUAGUGAAUUAAGUCUCACAAGAUCCGAUGGUUUUACAGAUGGGAUUUCCCCUCCACAAGCACUCUCUUGCCUGCCGCCAUGUAAGGCAUUCCUUCGCUCCUGCUUUGCCUUCCGCCAUGAUUGGGAGGCCUCCCCAACCAUGUGGAACUGUGAGUCAAUCAAACCUCUUUCCUUUAUAAAUUACCCAGUCUCCGGUAUGUCUUCAUUAGUAGCAUGAGAACAGACUAAUACAGAGUCCAGGUUCACAUGGUAGGCCCUUGAUACAUGUGUGAUGAGUUAAUGGGGAAAAAUAAAUGGACAUGGCUAUAAGCAAAAGCAUGCAUCAAAUGUAUAAAAAAAUACAAAGAGAAUACAAUUAGGAACAAAAGGACAUUGACUUCUGCUCUGUUUCUCCAAACUAACCAAGGAGUGUGCAUCCUUGGUAGGGAAGGAAGACAGCUGACAUGGGAAGGCUCCACUUGCCAAAUUCCUACAUCAUCAAAAAUCAGAUCACAUCAUCACUGGGAGGAAAAGAUAGACCACUAACAUACAAAGACAGUGCCCAGAAGACUGUGCUAUGAUUCAUUUUGCUCCCCAAAGACUAAGAUUUGUGGCCUAAGUGAUAAGUUAUUCUGUCUGUCAAAACUUUGUUUUAACUGUAAUGUGGCCUGGAAACAUAACAUAGUGGGAAUUUAGAAGUUAUUUAAAAAACACCUUUUUAUGGUUUGGGUUUUAUGUGUAUA
ensembl:lncRNA THSD4-AS1 THSD4 antisense RNA 1